GACACGCUGGCGGCGUGCCUAACACAUGCAAGUCGAACGGUCCGGCGCUCAACCGACCCUCAGUCUAACUGUAGGGGAAGUUGAGUGCCGGGUAGUGGCGGACGGGUGAGUAACGCGUGGGCAACCAACCCUGUACAGUGGGAUAACACCGGGGAAACCGGUGCUAAUACCGCAUGACACCUAUAUGGUGCAUACCGUAUAGGUUAAAGGAUUUAACCGGUACAGGACGGGCCCGCGUCCCAUUAGCUAGUUGGUGAGGUAACGGCCCACCAAGGCGACGAUGGGUAGCCGACCUGAGAGGGUGACCGGCCACACUGGGACUGAGACACGGCCCAGACUCCUACGGGAGGCAGCAGUGGGGAAUAUUGCGCAAUGGGGGGAACCCUGACGCAGCGACGCCGCGUGAGCGACGAAGGCCUUCGGGUCGUAAAGCUCUGUUCUUGGGGACGAAGGAAAUGACGGUACCCAAGGAGAAAGCCCCGGCUAACUACGUG
rnacentral:rRNA from 1 species